GUGGACCGAGCCUCCCGGCUCGCUGCUCCCGCCGGCGGAGCGAGGCUGCCCUUUUUUCGCAGCGUGAUUUAUUUUCUUCUCCUUUUUUUUUGAACUCUUCUUCCAGGGAGAGGCUAGUGGUAACAGGCCGAGCUGGAUGGAUGGGUAUGGGGAGAGGGGCAGGACGUUCAGCCCUGGGAUUCUGGCCGACCCUCGCCUUCCUUCUCUGCAGCUUCCCCGCAGACAGCUAUUAAAAGAACCCCAGGAAGUUUCUGCGCAGCGUUGGAGAUGGGGAGACUGUGGAAUUUGAUGUCCUGGAAGGAGAGAAGGGCGCAGAAGCCGCUAAUGUAACUGGGCCCGGGGAGGUGCCCGUGGAGGGCAGCCGUUAUGCCCCCAACCGACGUAGGUUUCACUGAUUCAUCCCCCAGCCUCCCUCAGUUGCCCCACCAUCCAUGGUGGCAGAGAUCCCUUCAGGGGGGACAGAACCUGGCAGAGAA
rnacentral:sRNA from 1 species